AGGAACCUCGACUGAGGCGCC
rnacentral:siRNA from 1 species